UCGUAGGUGACCUGCGGAGGAUCAUU
rnacentral:rRNA from 1 species